rnacentral:misc_RNA from 1 species
GAAGCGGCCGGUCACCGUCGGCGAUCUAGUUAGGAUUCAGCUUCGGGUGUCCGAGCAGGCGGAGUCCCGGAUCCGGCGCGGCCUCCUUCGGAUCGCCGCCGCGCAGCUUGGAAGACGCCCAGAGUCUAUGGUUUUGCCACUUGAGCUACUGCAGCAGUUCAAAGGUUCAGACUUCUCUGAUCAGAAAGAGUAUGAAGCCUGGCAGGUUAGAAAUUUAAAGCUUCUUGAAGCUGGGUUGCUCCUGCACCCUCGUUUUACGCCCGAAAAAUCUGACCCUGC